GCCUCCGUGGUGUAGUGGUCAGCACACUAGCUUCGUGUUCUAGAGGACCAUGGUUCGAGUCCCGGCGAGGGCA
rnacentral:tRNA from 1 species